UAGGGAAUAUUGGACAAUGGGGGCAACCCUGAUCCAGCCAUGCCGCGUGAGUGAAGAAGGCCCUCGGGUUGUAAAGCUCUUUUGUCCGGAAAGAAAAGCUUCGGGUUAAUACCCCGGGGUUCUGACGGUACCGGAAGAAUAAGCACCGGCUAACUUCGUGCCAGCAGCCGCGGUAAUACGAAGGGUGCAAGCGAUAAUCGGAAUUACUGGGCGUAAAGCGUGCGCAGGCGGCUUUGUAAGACAGAUGUGAAAUCCCCGGGCUUAACCUGGGAACUGCGUUUGUGACUGCAAGGCUGGAGUACGGCAGAGGGGGGUGGAAUUCCACGUGUAGCAGUGAAAUGCGUAGAGAUGUGGAGGAACACCGAUGGCGAAGGCAGCCCCCUGGGCCUGUACUGACGCUCAUGCACGAAAGCGUGGGG
rnacentral:rRNA from 1 species